GGCGAACGCUGGCGGCGUGCUUAACACAUGCAAGUCGAACGGUAAGGCCCUUCGGGGUACACGAGUGGCGAACGGGUGAGUAACACGUGGGUGAUCUGCCCUGCACUUCGGGAUAAGCCUGGGAAACUGGGUCUAAUACCGGAUAGGACCACUGCCUACAUGGGUGGUGGUGGAAAGCUUUUGCGGUGUGGGAUGGGCCCGCGGCCUAUCAGCUUGUUGGUGGGGUGAUGGCCUACCAAGGCGACGACGGGUAGCCGGCCUGAGAGGUGUGACCGGCCACACUGGGACUGAGAUACGGCCCAGACUCCUACGGGAGGCAGCAGUGGGGAAUAUUGCACAAUGGGCGCAAGCCUGAUGCAGCGACGCCGCGUGAGGGAUGACGGCCUUCGGGUUGUAAACCUCUUUCAGCACCGACGAGGCGCAAGUGACGGUAGGUGCAGAAGAAGGACCGGCCAACUACGUGCCAGCCGCCGCAGUAA
rnacentral:rRNA from 1 species